rnacentral:rRNA from 1 species
UACAGAGGUCCCGAGCGUUGUUCGGAUUCACUGGGCGUAAAGGGUGCGCAGGUGGGUUUGCAAGUUCGAUGUGAAAGCCCCGGGCUCAACUGGGGAGGGUCAUUCGAUACUGAUCGACUCGAAGGCAGGAGAGGGUAGUGGAAUUCCCGGUGUAGCGGUGAAAUGCGCAGAUAUCGGGAAGAACACCCGUGGCGAAGGCGGUUCUCUGGGACGUUACUGACGCUGAGACGCGAAAGCGUGGGGAGCAAACAGG